GCUUGAGUGAUGAUUUUGUUUAAGUCGGAAUCCCCUUCACUCCCUCAUGAGUGAUAAAACAGAUCUGACAAGC